AUGACACGCCCGAAAGCGCGGCGGCGUCCAUGCCGUCGACCUCCGCGGUCACCACCGCGCCCAGUGGAAAUGGAGGACACAGAGACCGGAAAGCGACGCCGUCCGCUGUGCCGCCACUUUCACCCCGCACGAGCAAAAGCCGUUGGAGGAGCAGAGCACGAAACUAACCCGUGGUUAGCUACCGCUGCCACUUCGCCGGGACGAGAAGAACUCGGGAGGGAGAUGGAAACAAAUGGGAAAGCAGGGAGCGAAAGCGAGAGCACGGAAAUGCACCGAGCUAGGUCGGCCGGCACACGGGGCGCCCACUUCACCGGCCCUGCGUGCGUGGUCGCGUUGGAUUUGCAUGAAUCUUGCGCGUAG
rnacentral:rRNA from 1 species